AAGAUGUCACUUACAUAUCUCUCUCCAUUCGUAGAAGCACCAAAACACUUCUUCACAUCUCUCUUCCUCUCUGUCUCUCGAGAUACCACAAAAAACCAGAUCGAAAUCCACCACUAAAACCAAGUUCUUCUACAAACUUCAUCACCAUAUCUCUGUAUCUCUCAAUUUCGUGCAGUUACAGUGAGUUUGGGUUUGAUUCUACAAACUUCAUCUGGUACUGUCAGGUUUCAAGUUUGAUUUUUCUCAUUCUCUACGAACUCCAUAAUCUUUCGCUGCAUCUUUGUUGGUACAAGUUUCUCAAAUUUGAUAGCAGAUGGAGUAGAAAUUAUGCUGAUCUACUCGGUCUGAAGGUCUGCUAAGAAAUUAGAGUUCAUAUACAAGCGAUUCUGUGAAGAAAUUUUCAGUUUCAUGCAGUUGGUCCUCGUGAUUUAAUCCAAGUCAGGUUUCAGUUCUAAACUUGGUAGGAUUUUUUUUGGAUUCAAGAUCUAGUUUGGGUUUUUUUUCCCCCUCAAUUUCAUACACAAAAAAGUUGGUGGAGACAUGGGAUAGUAAUGAAAGCAAGUUCAAUAAUGUUAUUCCAUCUGGUGAACAAAGUGAAGUAUUAGAGUACAAUGACAUUCCACCUAUAAGGGAAAAUGGAAGGCAUCUAUGAUCGACAACCAAGGAUGGAAGAAGCAAUUCCAAAGUAAUGUUUAUAUAAAUGAGUUGCCUGAGAUUUAAGAUCGAAAAGCUGGGGAUGAGACUUCUUCUGUUGUAAUUGUUGCUGCAGAAUCGCCCAAGGAUUUGGGGAAAUGUCCUGUGGCUGGGGAUCCACUUAUAAUGAAUAAUCUUAUGCCUGUGAAAACAAAUAAGGAGUGGGAUCAUGCUAUCACAUUUUGCAUUAGAACAACAAUUACAUACAGCAAGGCAAGAGCUAAGCCAUGCUCUCUACCAGGCUUGAAGUAGCACUACUGCUUGUUGUUUCGUAGCUUAUGGUUUAUUUUUUUAGGUGAAAUAUACUAUCCAAGUUUCUUCGUUUGUUGUUUCGUAGCUUAUGGUAGAUCACCGAUAGCUGGUUGACCUGUACGUGCUGAUGAUAUUUAUUUACUGCAAGGCCAGUUAGGAAUUAGGAUGGCCUGCCAAAUAUUGCUCUUGCAUUUGCUGGUUUAGCACACUCAGAUCAGUAUUUUUUAAAACAACUUGUAAACUGGAAGCCUAUGUUUGCAGAUACUACACUGACCCAUAUGGCACAUUUUGCAAUGUCAUAUAAAAGCAAUCAGAUCAGGUUCUGAGGGAGCUGACAGCUAUUUGCAGGAUCAAUUCAAUAAGGUAUCUUUAUCACGUUGCAAACUGUUCAAUGAGUCGACAGCUCUUUGCAGGAUCAAAUUCAACAAGGUCUUUGGACCUAAUAAUUGGUGGAAUAAGCUUGUGGGUCUGUAUCAUUCUCUAACUCCCCUGUUGCAUUUUGUUGUGUUCCUUUCUAUGGCCAGUUCAAUUAUAUUAUUCAACUAGCUAAAUGUCGUUGAACUCUUACGAAAUCACAUGAUUAUUGGUAUAGCUAAAUGUUUUUUAAGUUACCCCACUUCAACAAAUGCACUAGCUGCAUACUUGUAUUCUUUAUUUUCCCUUGCAUCAUGCAGUUUCCCUGAUUCACAAGAAAUAUAUCUUUAUGGAAUCUUCGGUUAAAGUUUUCUUUUAUGUACUUUCAUUUUUGUUGUUUAAUUAGGUUCAUAGGUCUUGUAUAUGGUGGUAAUUAGAUUACUAUCUCAGCACAGACAUUAUCUUGGGGGCUUGUCUACAGUACGUUUUCUUGGGAACGGUAUUUGAAUUCGCUUCAGUCGAGAUGCUAAUGUAGGUUUUUUGUAGAGCUAUUGGUUAUGUUUUUCUCUGUUUUGUUGGUGUUGAUGCAUGGUUUUCCUUGUGUGUAUGUUUAUGACAGGAAAAAAUAGACUUGACUCAUUUCAUUGUUGUUUCUUUUCCAGGUAGUUCAAAUUUGAAGCAAGUAGGGAGACAAACACGUCGAUCUAUAGUUUGUGAGGCGGCUUCAGCAAGGAGACAUUGAAGCCUACAUGGUCAUCUUGGUUAGUUUGCACUCAUUGUAAGAAAGCUUUAUCAUUUUACUUACUUUUUCAGGAGUUUUGGUUGUUUUUUUGCCCAAGUGUAAACUGGAUUCAAAUGUUAAUAAAGCAUUACAUCUUCUUUUUUUUGUGUAAUUUUGAACCUAGUGAAUCAAUGAAUGUGAAAUGGAAGGAUUAUUUGGA